AUUGAACGCUGGCGGCGUGCCUAAGACAUGCAAGUCUACGAGAAAGCACUUUCGGGUGUGAGUAAAGUGGCGCACGGGUGAGUAAAGCUUAAGUGACGUACCCUCUCGCUGGGGAUAACUGAGGGAAACCUCAGCUAAUACCGAAUGAGCCAUAUGCUGUAGAGGUAUAAGGCAAAGCGAUAAUGCGCGAGAGGAGCGGCUUGAGUCUCAUUAGCUAGUUGGUGGGGUAAGAGCUUACCAAGGCUAUGAUGGGUAACUGUUCUGAGAGGAUGAUCAGUCACACUGGCACUGGAACACGGGCCAGACUCCUACGGGAGGCAGCAGUUAGGAAUUUUGCGCAAUGGGGGGAACCCUGACGCAGCAACGCCGCGUGGAUGAUGAAGGCUUUCGGGUUGUAAAAUCCUUUUUUCAGAGAAGAUAAUGACGGUAUCUGAAGAAUAAGCACCGGCUAACUCCG
rnacentral:rRNA from 1 species